UGGGGAAUAUUGCGCAAUGGGGGCAACCCUGACGCAGCCAUGCCGCGUGAAUGAAGAAGGCCUUCGGGUUGUAAAGUUCUUUCGGUGACGAGGAAGGCGUGAUGUUUAAUAGGCAUCACGAUUGACGUUAAUCACAGAAGAAGCACCGGCUAACUCCGUGCCAGCAGCCGCGGUAAUACGGAGGGUGCGAGCGUUAAUCGGAAUAACUGGGCGUAAAGGGCACGCAGGCGGCUAUUUAAGUGAGGUGUGAAAUCCCCGGGCUUAACCUGGGAAUUGCAUUUCAGACUGGGUAGCUAGAGUACUUUAGGGAGGGGUAGAAUUCCACGUGUAGCGGUGAAAUGCGUAGAGAUGUGGAGGAAUACCGAAGGCGAAGGCAGCCCCUUGGGAAUGUACUGACGCUCAUGUGCGAAAGCGUGGGGAGCAAACAGGAUUAGAUACCCUGGUAGUCCACGCUGUAAACGCUGUCGAUUUGGGGAUUGGGCCUUGAGCUUGGUGCCCGAAGCUAACGUGAUAAAUCGACCGCCUGGGGGAGUACGGCCGCAAGGUUA
rnacentral:rRNA from 1 species